rnacentral:tRNA from 1 species
AAUUAAUAAGCUUAUAUAAAAGCAUUUGUUUUGAAAACUUAAGAAAGAAUACUAAUAUUCUAUUAAUUU